AGAAAAUGGGCCCCGGCUCCCGCAGGAGGCCCGCUUGGCGCGCAGAGGUCAUUAUUAGAAUCCGGGACGUCGGUGGACCCUCUGGGUCUGGCUCCCUCGGGGCUUACGAUGAAAAAAACUGGGGGGGAGUGUCUGUGUGUCAUGAGACUUCCAUUUCUGAAGGGGUCCUGUUCCGUAUCCUCAAGAAGGGAGUGCUGCACAGAGAGGCCAUGAGGAAUCUAAGCAGACAGGCCUUGCUGGGUUUCCCCACUCAGUCUGUCAAUAUUAGAUCAUACCUUUUUGUCCAGUCACAUUUUUACGUGGUUGUCAAUUAUGCCUGUCCAGUAAAGUCUCCAUAAAAGGCCCAAGAAGACAGAGUUGGAGUUCCUGGAUAGCUGAACAUGUGGAGGUUCCUGGAGGGUGGGGCACCUGGGCAUAAAAGCUCCAAGCCCCUUCCCUCAUACCUUGCUCUGUGCAUCCCUCCAUCUAUAUCCCUUGUAACAUUCCUUAUAAUAAAUUGGUAAAUGUGUUUCCCAGA
rnacentral:antisense_RNA from 1 species